ACUGAAGUCAUCCAAGGGCUGAAGGACCUAAAGAAUCUGAAAACCCUCAUACUUGAUGGAGCACCGGUUUCUGAAUCAUUCUUCAAGAUCAUUAAUUUCAAUUGCAAGUAUUUGGUCGAAAUAGGGCUUGGAAAAUGCAAAGGAGUGACUGACAAGGGCAUUCUCCAGCUGGUAUCAGGGGGUGUUAAUUUAAAUAUCUUGAAUCUCACAUGCUGUAGCGAACUUACA
rnacentral:misc_RNA from 1 species